AGCGGCAGACGGGUGAGUAACGCGUGGGAACGUACCCUUUACUACGGAAUAACGCAGGGAAACUUGUGCUAAUACCGUAUGUGCCCUUUGGGGGAAAGAUUUAUCGGUAAAGGGUCGGCCCGCGUUGGAUUAGCUAGUUGGUGGGGUAAAGGCCUACCAAGGCGACGAUCCAUAGCUGGUCUGAGAGGAUGAUCAGCCACAUUG
rnacentral:rRNA from 1 species